CUGUAAUGAUCUUGAUCAAAUGUCUGACCUAAAAUGAGCACGUGGACAAAUGUAAUGCUAAAGAA
ensembl:snoRNA